GUGAGGAAUUUUGCGCAAUGGCCGCAAGGCUGACGCAGCAACGCCGCGUGGGUGAUGAAGGCCUUCGGGUCGUAAAGCCCUGUCAGGUGGGAAGAAAGGCCUGGAGAGGAAAGGUUUCAGGUUUGACGGUACCACCAGAGGAAGCACCGGCUAACUCCGUGCCAGCAGCCGCGGUAAUACGGAGGGUGCGAGCGUUAUUCGGAAUUACUGGGCGUAAAGCGCGUGUAGGCGGGGGGACAAGUCUGAUGUGAAAGCCCUGGGCUUAACCUGGGAAGCGCAUUGGAAACUGUUUUUCUUGAGUACUGGAGAGGAAGGGGGAAUUCCCGGUGUAGAGGUGAAAUUCGUAGAGAUCGGGAGGAAUACCAGUGGCGUAGGCGCCCUUCUGGACGGUAACUGACGCUGAGACGCGAAAGCGUGGGGAGCAAACAGGAUUAGAUACCCCGGUAGUCC
rnacentral:rRNA from 1 species